rnacentral:misc_RNA from 1 species
GCCACUGCAGGAAAUAUCCAUGCCGCAGUUGAACGAUUACUGGGGAAUUCGGGGCAGUAGUGAUCGAUCCCAUUGGUAGUGUCGAUGCAUUUGAUGUGGCCCCAUCAAGUGCUGACAGCUGAGGUGAGUGACUUUGGAGGUGAAAUUCAAGUCCAUUAAGUCCAAAUUUUGGUAUAGGAGCGGCAAAGUCAGGAAUGCGAUCACUGAAUU